ACCAAUGUAUCACAGCGGUAAUGAAUCUGCCUGCAAUGCAGGAGACCUGGGCUUGAUUCCUAGGUUGGAA
rnacentral:tRNA from 1 species